rnacentral:tRNA from 1 species
AUUAAAACAGCUAUCGAGCAAUCAAGUUUCGGCCUUGAUCCUGGGUUAUUCCCUUUUAAUG